AUACGGAGGGGGCUAGCGUUGUUCGGAAUUACUGGGCGUAAAGCGCGCGUAGGCGGCUAAUUAAGUCAGAUGUGAAAGCCCUGGGCUCAACCUAGGAACGGCCUCUGAUACUGGUUAGCUAGAGUUUAGGAGAGGGGAGUGGAAUUUCAGGUGUAGCGGUGAAAUGCGUAGAGAUCUGAAGGAACACCAGUGGCGAAGGCGACUCCCUGGACUCGAACUGACGCUGAGGUACGAAAGCGUGGGUAGCAAACGGGAUUAGAAACCCCAGUAGUCC
rnacentral:rRNA from 1 species